GGAAGGAAGGAAGGAAGGAAGGAAGGAAGGAGAGGAAGGAAAUUGCAUUUAAAUGAUUACUUUGAGCCUAGCAUAGCAUUAUGGUAGAUGCUUGGAAUGCAAAUACAACAGUGAGAAGUUCCUUUCUUCCAGGAGCUAAAGACUACUGAGUUCAAACCCCUCAUUUUACAAAGAAAACAAAACAAAACUGAGGCGAGGAUGGGGAAGAGCCUGGCCCAAGGUCAUGUAGGUGCUGGGUGUCAAAGUCAAAAUUCUAACCUGGGUCUCCUGUUUCUAAAUCCACUGCUCUGCCCGCUCUAUAACACUCAGAAGGACACAGAGCAAACUUUUCUCUAGCCUCUUGAGAAAGCUGUGGUGGACUUUAGAUAUGGAGAGAAGUAUGUUUGUCAGACAUGGUCAAUGGGUUGGUGUGUUUCGUUUGAUUAUAUUUAUUUGUUACAAGGUACUUUCUAUUUGGAAAAGGGGAACCAUUAAGAAGUAAGAGUGACAUGGAAAAAGAAAAGGAAGGGAAGGGGGAGAGAGACAGAAACAGAGAUGGAGGGGGGGUCAGAGACAGAGACAGAGAGAGACGGAGACAGAGAGAGACAGAGACAGAGAGAGAGACAGAGAGACAGAGAGAGAGAAAUAGAGAGAGACAGAGACAGAGAGAGACAGAGAGAGAGAGAGAGAGACGGAGAGAGACAGAAAGAGGGAGAAGAAAAGUGGGAGAGAAAGGAAAGCAGAGGAAAAGAAAGGCAGAGAGGAGAAGAGAAAAAACAUACCAAAAGCAUUCUAAAAGGAAAAAAACACUUUUCUGCCCUGCGCAAGCACCAGCCCACUGUGGCUGGGUUAGCUCAGGUCACCGAAUGUGCAGGAUGGCCCAGCCCGCCCAGCAGCUGCUUUCCAAUGUCCUUUCGUAGAAAAACAAAGGAGGAGGAGGAAAAGAAGAGUCCCUGAUGUGGGGCUUUGAGGGUUGUGAAGUGCUCUGAAAUGGGUGGAAGCCCAAUUGUUAUUACUAUUAUUCCCAUUUUGCAGAUGGAGAUCCUAAAAGCCCAAGCUCACCCAGUAAGGGCCAAGACUUAAACCCCUCAGGGGCCUCCCAGUGUCCCAGAACUUUCCCCAGAGUCUGAGACUUCCAAGGGAGGUUCACCCCCAGACUUGGGGCCUGGUCUCCACUCACCUCCUGUGGAGCUCCUGCUGCAUAGUUCCCAUAGCCUACGAAGGCUAUGGCCCACAGGAACACCAGAAGGCUCUUCAUCAUGGCACCUAGGAAGGGAAGGGAAAGGACGGGAGAGGUGAUACAGCUGACAACAUGUUCACAUCCACAGCCCCCAGACUGAGACCCUUUGCCCUAGAGGAUCUAGGACCAGGGCUCGGUCACUUAUUGAGUCACAGAACCUCAUAGUGAAAAGGCAUCUCAGUGGCCAUCCAGGCUAACCCACUCAUCCCUUCUACCUCAGCAGCUGGUCAUCGGCCUGAAGACUGGACUUAGGGGACAACGAGGUAGCCCAAUAGAUCUCGAGAGCCAGGCCUCGAGAUGAGAGGCCCUGGGUUCAAUUGCCCAGCCCUUACCUCUCUUCUGCCUCCAUAGUAUUGAUUCUAAUAUGAAAGGUAAAGGUUUAAAAAAAAAAAAAGGACUGGCUCUAAGGGGCAGCCUUAUAUCAGCAGUCCAUUCAAUUUCUGGAUUGUCCCAACUGCCAGGAAGCUUUUUCUUACAUGAGGUCUCGAUCUAUCUCCCUGAACUUCCAUCCACAGCUCGGGGUUCUAUCCCCUGGGGCCAACAACAAAACUCAGCCUUUGGAAAGGAACCAUUUAGAGGCUUAAUAAAGGCAUCCUGAGACUGUGCCAUGAUAGUUAGAAGGGACUCUAGUGCUCAUCAAAUCCAAACCUCCCAUGGUGGAAUUUGAGGCCCAGAAAAGCCAACCAACUUGCCAAGGUCACCCAUCAGAUUGGACACCAAGGUUGCCGAGUUCCCACAUCCUAGUCUCUUUUCUUAAUAGAUUCAAAUGAUUCAUAGAUCAUGGAUCUGGAACCAGAAAGAACCUCAGAGUCCAGCCAAUUCUACAUUUUACAGAUGAGGAAACUGAGGCCCAAGGAAGUUAAGGAACUUAUUGAAGGUCACUGGCUGGCAAGUGUCAGAGGCAGGAUUUGAACCUAGGACCUCUAACCCCACAGUCAUUACUCUUUCUACCAUAUUGCUUCUGUUCCAAACCCAUGUUUGCGCCCAUGAUUGAUUAAGGCCCCUCUCCUGUCCUGCUGCCCCCUUAGCACUUUCUCCAAGCUAUUUAGUACUUUAUAAGUCAAAGAAGUAAAGAUCAGACCUUGUGAUUUCAGCUAAAAGGAUUUCAAAGAUGGGGCCAUUAGAUGGCACAAUAGAUAGAGCACCAGGUCUAGAGUUGGGAGGACCUGGAUUCAAAUUUCAUCUCAGACAUUUUCUAGCUGUGUGACCUUGGACAAGUCAUUUAAUCCCAUUUACUUAACCCUUGUCCUUUUAUCUUAGAACUGUUUCUAAGAAAGAAAUGGUUUAAAAAAUUAAAAAAUAUAAAAGGCCAAAGAUACCAAAGGAAGGUUUAACAGUGUGGACUAGAAGUGACAAGGGCUAAACUAACUUUCAAAUGCCCCUAAAGAAGUAAAAAAAAAAAAGAGGAAAAGGAUCCCUUCAUAUGAGCAAAAAUAUUUGUAGCAGUAUUUAGUGUUGGGGUGAAAAACUUCAAGAAAAAUAAGGGGAUGCCCCCCCAACUGGGGAAUGAUCUAACCAACAGUGGUACAGGAACGUGGACUAUCAUGGUGCUCUAAGAAUCAGUGACAGGAAUGGAUUCAGAGAAACCUGGGAAGGCUUCCAUGAACUGAUUCAGAGUGACGUGAGAAGAACCAGAAGAACAAUUCAUACAAUAACUGCAACAUUUUAAAGGGGAAAAGUCUGGAGAAAUUUAAGAAGGAAAUGGCAAACUACUCCACUAUCUCUGCCAAGAAAAUGCCAAAUAGAAGAGUUGGAUACAAUUGAAAACAACUGAAAAACAAAACAACUCCUUAACAGAGAGGUCGGGGACUCAAGGGAUAAAUUGAGCUAUACAUUUUAGAAUAUGGCAAAUGUGUGCAUUUGUUUCACUGAAAUAGGCUUGUUUUUAUAAGAGGCUUAAAAAAAUAGGAGAUGGGGAGUCUUACAGAGAAAAGGAAAACUAUCAAUAGAGGGGCCAAAAAGGAAAAGAGAAAAGAAAGAAAAUAAGGUCAUUAUAGCAUUUUUUUAAAAUUUACAGACAAGGGGGUAGCCGGGUGGCUCAGUGGAUUGAGAGUCAGACUCAGAGAUGGGAAUUCCUGGGUUCAAAUCUGUCCACAGUCACUUCUUAACUGCAUGACUCUGGGCACUUAAUUCCCAUUGCCUAGGCUUUACUGCUCUUCUACCUUGGAACUAAUACAUAGUAUUGAUUCUAGGACAGAAGAUAAGGAUUUUUUAAAAAUUCACAGAUAAGAACAGGAGGAGAUACAGAAGAAGAUACAACCAGGUCUAGCAAUCCACUUAGUGCAUCGAGCUUCUAGAGAAAGAAAGGACAGAUGAAGAUGACUCCAAAGCAAUGUUUGUAUCCUCCUUGAAUCAGGAUGACAAGUUCCUCAUUUUGACUCAACAUCACAGCAACCUGGCCAGUAUGCCCAGGCAGGGCUUCCAGAAGGAUCUUUAAAAAACCCUUACCUUA